AACGAACGCUGGCGGCAUGCCUAACACAUGCAAGUCGAACGAAGCCUUCGGGCUUAGUGGCGCACGGGUGCGUAACACGUGGGAAUCUGCCCUUCGGUUCGGAAUAACAGUUAGAAAUGACUGCUAAUACCGGAUGAUGACGAAAGUCCAAAGAUUUAUCGCCGAAGGAUGAGCCCGCGUAGGAUUAGGUAGUUGGUAGGGUAAUGGCCUACCAAGCCGACGAUCCUUAGCUGGUCUGAGAGGAUGAUCAGCCACACUGGGACUGAGACACGGCCCAGACUCCUACGGGAGGCAGCAGUGGGGAAUAUUGGACAAUGGGCGAAAGCCUGAUCCCAGCAAUGCCGCGUGAGUGAUGAAGGCCUUAGGGUUGUAAAGCUCUUUUACCAGGGAUGAUAAUGACAGUACCUGGAGAAUAAGCUCCGGCUAACUCGUGCCAGCAGCCGCGGUAAU
rnacentral:rRNA from 1 species